CCGCGUGUGUGAAGAAGGCCUUCGGGUUGUAAAGCACGUUUCAGUAGGGAGGAAGGUAGUGUAGUUAACACCUGCAUUAUUUGACGUUACCUACAGAAGAAGCACCGGCUAACUCCGUGCCAGCAGCCGCGGUAAUACGGAGGGUGCGAGCGUUAAUCGGAAUUACUGGGCGUAAAGCGCAUGCAGGCGGCCUGUUAAGUCAGAUGUGAAAGCCCCGGGGCUUAACCUCGGAAUUGCAUUUGAAAACUGGCAGGCUAGAGUCUUGUAGAGGGGGUAGAAUUUCAGGUGUAGCGGUGAAAUGCGUAGAGAUCUGAAGGAAUACCAGUGGCGAAGGCGGCCCCCUGGACAAAGACUGACGCUCAGAUGCGAAAGCGUGGGGAGCAAACAGGAUUAGAUACCCUGGUAG
rnacentral:rRNA from 1 species